GACGUAGGGCGCGAGCGUUGUCCGGAUUUAUUGGGCGUAAAGAGCUCGUAGGCGGCUUGUCGCGUCGACUGUGAAAACUUGGGGCUCAACCCCAAGCCUGCGGUCGAUACGGGCAGGCUCGAGUUCGGUAGGGGAGACUGGAAUUCCUGGUGUAGCGGUGAAAUGCGCAGAUAUCAGGAGGAACACCGGUGGCGAAGGCGGGUCUCUGGGCCGAUACUGACGCUGAGGAGCGAAAGCGUGGGGAGCGAACAGG
rnacentral:rRNA from 1 species